AUUGAACGCUGGCGGCAUGCUUUACACAUGCAAGUCGAACGGCAGCGGGGGCUUCGGCCUGCCGGCGAGUGGCGAACGGGUGAGUAAUGCAUCGGAACGUGCCCAUGUUGUGGGGGAUAACUACGCGAAAGCGUAGCUAAUACCGCAUAAGCCCUGAGGGGGAAAGCGGGGGAUUCUUCGGAACCUCGUGCGAUUGGAGCGGCCGAUGUCGGAUUAGCUAGUAGGUGAGGUAAAGGCUCACCUAGGCGACGAUCCGUAGCGGGUCUGAGAGGAUGAUCCGCCACACUGGGACUGAGACACGGCCCAGACUCCUACGGGAGGCAGCAGUGGGGAAUUUUGGACAAUGGGCGCAAGCCUGAUCCAGCCAUGCCGCGUGAGUGAAGAAGGCCUCGGUUG
rnacentral:rRNA from 1 species